GGGGGAUAACCAUUGGAAACGAUGGCUAAUACCGCAUGAUGCCUACGGGCCAAAGAGGGGGACCUUCGGGCCUCUCGCGUCAGGAUAUGCCUAGGUGGGAUUAGCUAGUUGGUGAGGUAAUGGCUCACCAAGGCGACGAUCCCUAGCUGGUCUGAGAGGAUGAUCAGCCACACUGGAACUGAGACACGGUCCAGACUCCUACGGGAGGCAGCAGUGGGGAAUAUUGCACAAUGGGCGCAAGCCUGAUGCAGCCAUGCCGCGUGUGUGAAGAAGGCCUUCGGGUUGUAAAGCACUUUCAGUCGUGAGGAAGGUAGUGUAGUUAAUAGCUGCAUUAUUUGACGUUAGCGACAGAAGAAGCACCGGCUAACUCCGUGCCAGCAGCCGCGGUAAUACGGAGGGUGCGAGCGUUAAUCGGAAUUACUGGGCGUAAAGCGCAUGCAGGUGGUUUGUUAAGUCAGAUGUGAAAGCCCGGGGCUCAACCUCGGAAUAGCAUUUGAAACUGGCAGACUAGAGUACUGUAGAGGGGGGUAGAAUUUCAGGUGUAGCGGUGAAAUGCGUAGAGAUCUGAAGGAAUACCGGUGGCGAAGGCGGCCCCCUGGACAGAUACUGACACUCAGAUGCGAAAGCGUGGGGAGCAAACAGGAUUAGAUACCCUGGUAGUCCACGCCGUAAACGAUGUCUACUUGGAGGUUGUGGCCUUGAGCCGUGGCUUUCGGAGCUAACGCGUUAAGUAGACCGCCUGGGGAGUACGGUCGCAAGAUUAAAACUCAAAUGAAUUGACGGGGGCCCGCACAAGCGGUGGAGCAUGUGGUUUAAUUCGAUGCAACGCGAAGAACCUUACCUACUCUUGACAUCCAGAGAACUUUCCAGAGAUGGAUUGGUGCCUUCGGGAACUCUGAGACAGGUGCUGCAUGGCUGUCGUCAGCUCGUGUUGUGAAAUGUUGGGUUAAGUCCCGCAACGAGCGCAACCCUUAUCCUUGUUUGCCAGCGAGUAAUGUCGGGAACUCCAGGGAGACUGCCGGUGAUAAACCGGAGGAAGGUGGGGACGACGUCAAGUCAUCAUGGCCCUUACGAGUAGGGCUACACACGUGCUACAAUGGCGCAUACAGAGGGCAGCAAGCUAGCGAUAGUGAGCGAAUCCCAAAAAGUGCGUCGUAGUCCGGAUUGGAGUCUGCAACUCGACUCCAUGAAGUCGGAAUCGCUAGUAAUCGUGGAUCAGAAUGCCACGGUGAAUACGUUCCCGGGCCUUGU
rnacentral:rRNA from 1 species